rnacentral:rRNA from 1 species
AGUGAACGCUGGCGGUAGGCCUAACACAUGCAAGUCGAACGGCAGCACAGUAAGAGCUUGCUCUUACGGGUGGCGAGUGGCGGACGGGUGAGGAAUACAUCGGAAUCUACUUUUUCGUGGGGGACAACGUAGGGCAACUUACGCUAAUACCGCAUACGACCUACGGGUGAAAGCAGGGGAUCUUCGGACCUUGCGCGAUUGAAUGAGCCGAUGUCGUAUUAGCUAGUUGGCGGGGUAAAGGCCCACCAAGGCAACGAUCCGUAGCUGAUCUGAGAGGAUGAUCGGCCACACUGGAACUGAGACACGGUCCAGACUCCUACGGGAGGCAGCAGUGGGGAAUAUUGGACAAUGGGCGCAAGCCUGAUCCAGCCAUACCGCGUGAGUGAAGAAGGCCUUCGGGUUGUAAAGCCCUUUUGUUGGGAAAGAAAAGCAGCAGGUUAAUACCCCGCUGUUCUGACGGUACCCAAAGAAUAAGCACCGGCUAACUUCGUG